CUUGAUGAUGCAGAGGAGAAGCAGAUCACCGUAGAAGCUGUGAGAAAUUGGCUUGACAACAUUUAAAGAUGCUGUCUAUGAUGCCGAUGACUUGCUUGCUGGAAUUGCUUAUGAAGCUCUGCGAUCCAAGUUGGAAUGUGGAAAAUCAAAGUUGCUAAACUUUAUUUUAUCUCGUAAUACUUUUAUUAGGAUCGAAACAAAGUUAGAAGAGAUUCUUGAAACACUUGAAUAUGUAGUGUAACAAAAAGAUACUCUUGGUCUGAUGGAGGGUAUUGGGGAAAAACCUGUAUCACGAAAAAUACCAUCAACUUCUUUGGUAAUUGAAUCUGAUGUUUAUGGUAGGAGCAAUGAUAGGGAAGCCAUAAUAGAGGUCCUACUAUCUCAUAGUAGGGACCUGGGUGUGAUUUCCAUAGUGGGUAUGGGUGGGA
rnacentral:misc_RNA from 1 species